CUGCUGCCUUCCGUAGGAGUUUGGGCCGUGUCUCAGUCCCAAUGUGGCCGUCCACCCUCUCAGGCCGGCUACUGAUCGUCGCCUUGGUGGGCCGUUACCCCGCCAACAAGCUAAUCAGACGCGGGUCCAUCUUACACCACCGGAGUUUUUCACACAAAUCCAUGCGGCUUCGUGCGCUUAUGCGGUAUUAGCACCUAUUUCUAAGUGUUAUCCCCCAGUGUAAGGCAGGUUACCACGCGUUACUCACCGUCCGCCACUAAGUA
rnacentral:rRNA from 1 species